rnacentral:rRNA from 1 species
CGUGUAGACGGCCGAAUAAGUCUGGAGUGAAAGUCCUGCUUUUAAGGUGGGAAUUGCUUUGGAGACUGUUUGGCUUGAGUGCGGAAGAGGUAAGUGGAAUUCCCAGUGUAGCGGUGAAAUGCGUAGAGAUUGGGAGGAACACCAGUGGCGAAGGCGACUUACUGGGCCGUAACUGACGUUGAGGCGCGAAAGCGUGGGGAGCGAACA